GUUUAUAUUUUAAUUGAAGCUGCUAACUUUGAUUAGGGGGUGAAUUACCUCCUAUAAACU
rnacentral:tRNA from 1 species